GAGUUUGAUUCUGGCUCAGAUUGAACGCUGGCGGCAUGCCUUACACAUGCAAGUCGAACGGUAACGCGGGGCAACCUGGCGACGAGUGGCGAACGGGUGAGUAAAGCAUCGGAACGUGCCCAGUAGUGGGGGAUAGCCCGGCGAAAGCCGGAUUAAUACCGCAUACGACCUAAGGGUGAAAGGGGGGGAUCGCAAGACCUCUCGCUAUUGGAGCGGCCGAUGUCAGAUUAGCUAGUUGGUGGGGUAAAAGCUCACCAAGGCGACGAUCUGUAGCUGGUCUGAGAGGACGACCAGCCACACUGGGACUGAGACACGGCCCAGACUCCUACGGGAGGCAGCAGUGGGGAAUUUUGGACAAUGGACGAAAGUCUGAUCCAGCCAUGCCGCGUGCGGGAAGAAGGCCUUCGGGUUGUAAACCGCUUUUGUCAGGGAAGAAAUCCUUUGAGCUAAUACCUCGGGGGGAUGACGGUACCUGAAGAAUAAGCACCGGCUAACUACGUGCCAGCAGCCGCGGUAAUACGUAGGGUGCAAGCGUUAAUCGGAAUUACUGGGCGUAAAGCGUGCGCAGGCGGUUAUGUAAGACAGAGG
rnacentral:rRNA from 1 species